rnacentral:rRNA from 1 species
UUGGGUUAAGUCCCGCAACGAGCGCAACCCUCGUCUUUAGUUGCCAGCAUUAAGUUGGGCACUCUGGAGAGACUGCCGGUGACAAACCGGAGGAAGGUGGGGAUGACGUCAAGUCAGCAUGCCCCUUACGUCUUGGGCUACACACGUACUACAAUGCUUCGGACAAAGGGUUGCAAGCGUGCGAACGCAAGCUAAUCCCAUAAACCGAGGCUCAGUUCAGAUUGCAGGCUGCAACUCGCCUGCAUGAAGGCGGAAUCGCUAGUAAUCGCAGGUCAGCAUACUGCGGUGAAUACGUUCCCGGGCCUUGUACACACCGCCCGUCACACCAUGGGAGUUGGCCACGCCCGAAGUCGUUACUCCAACCGUUCGCGGAGGAGGAUGCCGAAGGCAGGGCUGAUGACUGGGGUGAAGUCGUAACAAGGUAACCAAGCCGAAUUC